UACGAAGGGGGCUAGCGUUGCUCGGAAUCACUGGGCGUAAAGCGCACGUAGGCGGAUCUUUAAGUCAGGGGUGAAAUCCUGGAGCUCAACUCCAGAACUGCCUUUGAUACUGGGGAUCUCGAGUCCGGAAGAGGUGAGUGGAACUCCGAGUGUAGAGGUGAAAUUCGUAGAUAUUCGGAAGAACACCAGUGGCGAAGGCGGCUCACUGGUCCGGUACUGACGCUGAGGUGCGAAAGCGUGGGAGCAAACAGG
rnacentral:rRNA from 1 species